UACGGGGGGGGUAAGCGUUGUUCGGAAUUACUGGGCGUAAAGGGCGCGUAGGCGGUACUUCAAGUCAGGCGUGAAAGCCCCGGGCUCAACCUGGGAACCGCGCUUGAGACUGGAGAACUAGAGUUCGGGAGAGGAUGGUGGAAUUCCCAGUGUAGAGGUGAAAUUCGUAGAUAUUGGGAAGAACACCGAUGGCGAAGGCAGCCAUCUGGACCGACACUGACGCUGAGGCGCGAAAGCGUGGGGAGCAAACAGG
rnacentral:rRNA from 1 species